UACUUGAACAUUGAUGCGGGGACAAUGUCUCCUUUCGAGCAUGCGGAGGUUUUCGUCUUAGAUGAUAGCGGAGAGCUUGAACUUGAUCUUGGGAACUACGAACGAUUUUUGGACAUUAAAUUAACUGGCGACAAUAACAUCACUACUAGAAAAAUGUAUCAGGCUAUUGAAGAUUUGACUAAGGCUUUAGAGUUUGAAACCAACUCAGCAGAUAUUUUACAUGAGAGAGGGGAUAUUGAGUCCAUGCCUUUUAUUGAAGCACUGCUGGAACCGUAUUUAUGCAGUUUAAUUUGUUAAUUUCAUGGUUUUGAUGUGUUGCAGCAGAGCCUAAUUUGAAGGAGUCGACUGCAAGGAAAAAAAUUUAUGACAGAUGUGAUGAAACUUGGCCAAUGUGGAGCUUACAACAAUUGUUACGUGCCUCAGGUUAGAAUUCCAAUGGUGGGAAAAU